rnacentral:rRNA from 1 species
UAACGCAUGCAAGUCGAACGAUAAAGCGAAUUUAUUCGCGAUUAAAGUGGCGAACGGGUGAGUAACGCGUGGGAAACCUGCCCUUCGAGUGGGGGAUAACAUUCCUAACGGAAUGCUAAUACCGCAUAACAUCACAGAUCGCAUGGUCUGUGAUGAAAGAUGGCCUCUAUUUAUAAGCUGUCGUUGAAGGAUGGUUCCGCCUCCCAUUAGCUAGUUGGUGGGGUAAUGGCCUACCAAGGCGACGAUGGGUAGCCGGCCUGAGAGGGUGUCCGGCCACACUGGGACUGAGAUACGGCCCAGACUCCUACGGGAGGCAGCAGUCGAGAAGCUUCCGCAAUGGGGGAAACCCUGACGGAGCGACGCCGCGUGAACGAAGAAGGUCCUUUGGAUUGUAAAGUUCUGUCAGAUUGGGAAGAAAACUGUGCGGUUAAUACCCGUACAUUUGACGGUGCCUGUAGAGGAAGCUCCGGCUAGCUCCGUGCCAGCAGCCGCGGUAAUACGGGGGGAGCAAGCGUUGUUCGGAUUCACUGGGUAUAAAGGGUGCGCAGGCGGCCUGAUAAGUCAGAGGUGAAAUAUGUCGGCUCAACCGGCAAACGGCCUCAAAAACUGCUUUACUUGAGGUCGAGGGAGGAAAGUAGAAUUCCUGGUGUAGCGGUGAAAUGCGUAGAUAUCAGGAGGAAUACCAGUGGCGAAGGCGGCUUUCUAUCUCGAUUCUGACGCUGAGGCGCGAAAGCUAGGGGAGCAAACGGGAUUAGAUACCCCGGUAGUCCUAGCCGUAAACGAUGGGCACUAGGUGUGGGAGGUAUCGACCCCUUCCGUGCCGCAGCUAACGCAUUAAGUGCCCCGCCUGGGGAGUACGGUCGCAAGAUUGAAACUCAAAGGAAUUGACGGGGGCCCGCACAAGCGGUGGAGCAUGUGGUUUAAUUCGAUGAUACGCGAAGAACCUUACCUGGGUUUGACAUGGACAGGACCGGUAUAGAAAUAGAGUUUUCCGUCGGGAGUUCUGUAGAGGUGCUGCAUGGCUGUCGUCAGCUCGUGUCGUGAGAUGUUGGGUUAAGUCCCGCAACGAGCGCAACCCUUAUCCUUAGUUGCCAUCAGGUUAUGCUGGGAACUCUAAGGAGACUGCCGGUGAUAAACCGGAGGAAGGUGGGGAUGACGUCAAGUCCUCAUGGCCCUUACGCCCAGGGCUACACACGUGCUACAAUGGCCGGUACAGCGGGCUGCAAUACCGCGAGGUGGAGCGAAUCCCAGAAAACCUGUCUCAGUUCGGAUUGCAGUCUGCAACUCGACUGCAUGAAGGCGGAAUCGCUAGUAAGCGCGGAUCAGCAGGCCGCGCUGAAUACGUUCCCGGGCCUUGUACACACCGCCCGUCACGCCAUGGAAGCUGGGGGGACCCGAAGCCGGUGGGCUAACCUUAGGGAUG